CCUACGGGAGGCAGCAGUGAGGAAUAUUGGUCAAUGGACGCAAGCCUGAACCAGCCAAGUCGCGUGAAGGAAGACGGUCCUAUGGAUUGUAAACCUCUUUUGUCGGGGGGCAAAAGACGCCACGCGUGGCGUUCCGAAAGUACCCGACGAACAAGCAUCGGCUAACUCCGUGCCAGCAGCCGCGGUAAUACGGAGGAUGCGAGCGUUAUCCGGAUUUAUUGGGUUUAAAGGGUGCGCAGGCGGAAGAUCAAGUCAGCGGGAAAAUUGAGAGGCUCAACCUCUUCGAGCCGUUGAAACUGGUGGUCUUGAGUGAGGUAGAAGUAGGCGGAAUGCGUGGUGUAGCGGUGAAAUGCAUAGAUAUCACGCAGAACUCCGAUUGCGAAGGCAGCAUACCGGCGCUCAACUGACGUUCAUGCACGAAAGUGUGGGUAUCGAACAGGAUUAGAUACCCGAGUAGUC
rnacentral:rRNA from 1 species